CCUGGGGUGGAAGGCUCUGACAUCAUUGGAAUCAUAAUGCUUUUUUGUUCUUUUAUUCUUUGGACUUACGUCUUUUAUACUUUUCAAAGGACUUUCAUAUCCUUUAUGUCAUCUCACACUGACGACAUCCCUGCAGGGUGGAAGGACAGGUAUUAUUAUAAUAACUCAGCCACUCUUCCAACAACAGUCAUCAUUCAUGACUGAGGCCCCAGAGCCCACAGCAGGAAAAGCAACUGAAUCACUUUAUGGCCUCCCAAUCCCCACCCAGGAAGGUCCUCUGAGGCCGACUGUGUGACCAGGCUUUGCAAGUGGCCGAAGGAAAGAGUCCUGAUCAAAGGGCAGCCUGCCUGAUGGUCAGAUGCCAACAGCUCUGCCUGCCGGUGACGAACAUGCUUCUGUAGAGCAAAUGGCUGGACUAUUUCAUGGCCCCAACGCUAUUCUACUCAACCUUUAAAAAUGAAGGAUCCGAAUUUAAUGUGAAAUCUGCAUUUCAUCAAAGAUGGGACACCGCGUCCUUGGCUUAAUUAUUCUUUGGAAAUCGAACAUCUUUACUACUGCAUGCUUAACAGGUAGAAGGAAAAACAAACUGCAGACGAUGUGAUUCAGGCCUGAGGGACUGGAGGCACUGAUUCCAUCUACACUGAUAUCGCAUGGGGAACCCCCUUUGCAUUGAUAAUACUCACAUGCUGAACUAGCACGCGGUAUAAUAGUCAGUGAUAAUGUCGCUCGAUGUCUACCCUUAGAAAGAGAAUUUAGAGCAUGAAUCAGUAGAAUAAUAAUACUCCCCAAUUACAUGACACUUUGCUUUAUAAUCCCCCCCCCCCCCAUAAUAUGGAUCUCUCCAUUUUAUUCUUUUAUUAGCCCCUGGAGGGGAGAGUCACCAGGGCUCAGGGAAGAGAGAUUACUGUAGGUGGUGAAGUCAAGAUUUGCAUCUUACCCUUCUAGAGCACUUCUCUUGCCAUGGUGCAGCUUCCUAAUGAACACUGAGAGUUUUGUGAAUGGGGGGGGGAAGGAAGUGUAGUAACUGUACCUCAGGAAACAGCUUCGUGAAAAAACAGAGGAAGAACUGAGGGAUGAAAGUCAAACUCAGCCGGAGCCUUGAUUAUGCUUUUGAGGCCUCAGGGUGACCUGGGACAAGUGCCUUAAAUAUCCACUGCCUCUGGUUUUCAUCUCACAGGAGGGAAUGUUAAUUCUAGUUCUUUCCACCUCAUCAAGUUUUUAAGUAAAGAAGGAGCUAAUGAAUAUGAAACUGUUUUAAAAGGUAUUAACUCUUUUCAAAAUGUAGGCACUGGGAGAUGAUUUUUGAAAUAAAGUAUAUUGCUAGUGAACAGAAGCACUUGGAUCAAAUGAAUGUACUCAAGGCCUAGGAGGUCCAGUCUACUCCUGGCCAUUUAGAUGCCUCCAGAAACCAGUGAUGGAGCGGGCACCCGGUCCCUGUGCCGUUUCACUUGCAUUUCCCUUUUGAUGCUAAAAGGUAGAGAUUUACCUUGGGAAACUCCUCCCUCUGGAUCCAGACAAGAAGGGAGCUUCAUCAAGGAAUCCACCUUCCCUGGGCACGGGCACCCUGAACAGAAAUCGGAGAUUGAGCAGAAGGUUAUGGUACCUAAGAAGGGUUGGUGCCCAUCAGCCUGCAGUGGAGGCUCAGAAGAGGCCUCCCUGCCUCCAGUCUUCCGACAGUUCCUUACUCCUCUGCCUGCCCUGCCUGGUUUCUCAGCCUUCCUUUUGAUUCUGGAAAUUCUCCCACACCCUUGUAGGAAAUCCCAUCCAUGCCCUCUUAGGGGUUGUUUUACACCACUCAGUCUAAGAGGGGCUUGCCAGGUCACCAUAGUUAUCAGAACAGAAGAUUUCUUGAAAGAGGGACUAUUAGAACCCCGUCAAUGUUUAGACACGAACAACCUGUUCUUUGAGUUGGCCAGGGUUAGUCCCAGCAACUUGCAAAGAAAACACCUUAAUGGUGAAAGCUGCAACACUAACAGAUCAUUGCAGCCAGAGGAAGGAGGACAGAAGAGUGACGAUCAAGAAAAUCAAACCAUUUGGUCACCUAGUAAUCUACUGUGGAACAAAAGACAGGCAAGUCAGGUAAAAGAGCCGCUAAUAAGUCUUCAACCACCAUUCUUGAAAAAGUCUCCUUUUUUCUUCCUUUGCUAAGUCCAUAAAAGUUUAAAAGAUCAAAA